UACGAAGGGUGCAAGCGUUACUCGGAAUUACUGGGCGUAAAGCGUGCGUAGGCGGUUUGUUAAGUCAGAUGUGAAAGCCCCGGGCUUAACCUGGGAACUGCGUUUGAAACUGGGAGACUUGAGUGUGGCAGAGGGGGGUGGAAUUCCACGUGUAGCAGUGAAAUGCGUAGAUAUGUGGAGGAACACCGAUGGCGAAGGCAGCCCCCUGGGUUAACACUGACGCUCAUGCACGAAAGCGUGGGGAGCAAACAGG
rnacentral:rRNA from 1 species